GGGCCGUUAGCUCAGUUGGUAGAGCAGUGGACUCUUAAUCCAUCGGUCUGGGGUUCGAAUCCCUAACGGCCCA
rnacentral:tRNA from 1 species